rnacentral:rRNA from 1 species
UACGGAAGGCAGCAGUGGGGAAUAUUGCACAAUGGGCGAAAGCCUGAUGCAGCUAUGCCGCGUGUAUGAAGAAGGCCUUAGGGUUGUAAAGUACUUUCAUCGGGGAGGAAAAACAAAACUAAUAAUUUUAUUUCUUGACGUUACCCGAAAAAGAAGCACCGACUAACUCCGUGCCAGCAGCCGCGGUAAUACGGAGGGUGCUAGCGUUAAUCAGAAUUACUGGGCGUAAAGAGCACGUAGGUGGUUUUUUUAAGUCAGAUGUGAAAUCCCUGGGCUUAACCUGGAACUGCAUUUUGAAACUGAAAUACUAGAGUAUCGUAGAGGGAGGUAGAAUUCUAGGUGUAGCGGUGAAAUGCGUAGAUAUCUGGAGGAAUACCUGUGGCGAAAGCGGCCUCCUAAACGAAUACUGACACUGAGGUGCGAAAGCGUGGGGAGCAAACAGGGAUUAGAUACC